ACUCCUACGGGAGGCAGCAGUGGGGAAUUUUGGACAAUGGGGGCAACCCUGAUCCAGCAAUGCCGCGUGUGUGAAGAAGGCCUUCGGGUUGUAAAGCACUUUUGUCCGGAAAGAAAUCGCACUUACUAAUAUUAGGUGUGGAUGACGGUACCGGAAGAAUAAGGACCGGCUAACUACGUGCCAGCAGCCGCGGUAAUACGUAGGGUCCAAGCGUUAAUCGGAAUUACUGGGCGUAAAGCGUGCGCAGGCGGUUGUGCAAGACCGAUGUGAAAUCCCCGGGCUUAACCUGGGAAUUGCAUUGGUGACUGCACGGCUAGAGUGUGUCAGAGGAGGGUAGAAUUCCACGUGUAGCAGUGAAAUGCGUAGAGAUGUGGAGGAAUACCGAUGGCGAAGGCAGCCCCCUGGGAUAACACUGACGCUCAUGCACGAAAGCGUGGGGAGCAAACAGGAUUAGAUACCCUGGUAGUCCACGCCCUAAACGAUGUCAACUAGCCGUUGGGACUCUUGAAGUCUUAGUGGCGCAGCUAACGCACUAAGUUGACCGCCUGGGGAGUACGGCCGCAAGGUUAAAACUUAAAGGAAUUGACGG
rnacentral:rRNA from 1 species